rnacentral:lncRNA from 10 species
CGAGGAGGGGGAGGAGGCUCCCAGAGCCAGCCUGCCAGCCACUGAGAAACCUUUGUAUCCCCUCUCGCAGCAACAGGUCACACCACACGCCUUUUCGAAGGAAGUGGGUAAACAGCACUAAGACUACCACCUUGCCUUUAAUUUCCAGAAGUGGUAUUACACUUAACAAAUGAACAAGGGAUAACAAUUGCUGUUUCAGUCCAGACCCAAUUUCACCAAAUAAUUUCACUCAAGAGCUAUUAUUGACAAGCACCGUGGGCUCAAUGGUGUCAAGUUGUACUUGUGGUUUCAACACCCCGCAGCAACCCACGUAGCCGCUGGGCCCUGGAUUAGGACCCCCAGUCUGGCAGUGCUUAUCUGCCCGUCUGAGUGAUGGAGAGAUGAGUAUCAGUCUAUACCUCAACUGCUUCAAGCCCGCCUGGGCUUUCUCCCUGGCGCCUUUGUCUGUGUCAGGGUUGGAGCAACGAAACUGAAAGAUCUCCAGAGUUUGAAAACAGAGUGAAAGAGCAAAUUUAAUAAAUGAGAGCUCAGCCUUGAAUCUUAGUCUUUAUUAAUAGAGUCAUGUCCCUCACACCCAAAUAACUAUCAAACUUCAAACCACAUGUACUGUUUUUCAGAGUUCGGGUUCUUUCCUGGGUUCAUCAUGAAAGGUGUGAGGGAUGAAGGGGAAAAGGGUCUGAGGAGUUGGCAGG